rnacentral:tRNA from 1 species
AUUAAAUUAUCAUAAUCAAUGUAUUAAACUUAGAAUUUAGUUAAGCAGAAAAGCCUGCAUUUAAUA